rnacentral:rRNA from 1 species
GCAUAUCAAUAAGCGGAGGAAAAGAAACUAACAAGGAUUCCCCUAGUAACGGCGAGUGAAGCGGGAAGAGCUCAAAUUUGAAAUCUGGCAGUCUUCGAUUGUCCGAGUUGUAAUCUAUAGAGGCGUUUUCCGUGCCGGACCGUGUCCAAGUCUCCUGGAAAGGAGUAUCAAAGAGGGUGAUAAUCCCGUACUUAACACGACCACCGGUGCUCUGUGAUACGUCUUCUACGAGUCGAGUUGUUUGGGAAUGCAGCUCAAAAUGGGUGGUGAAUUCCAUCUAAAGCUAAAUAUUGGCGAGAGACCGAUAGCGAACAAGUACCGUGAGGGAAAGAUGAAAAGCACUUUGGAAAGAGAGUUAAACAGUACGUGAAAUUGUUGAAAGGGAAACGAUUGAAGUCAGUCGUGUUCUUUGGAUUCAGCCAGUUCUGCUGGUCUACUUCCUUGGAACGGGUCAACAUCAGUUUUGUCCGGUGGAUAAAGGUAGUAGGAAUGUGACUUCUCCGGAAGUGUUAUAGCCUAUUAUCACAUACACUGGGUGAGACUGAGGACUGCAGCUCGCCUUUAUGGCCGGCCUUCGGGCACGUUCGAGCUUAGGAUGUUGACAUAAUGGCUUUAAACGACCCGUCUUGAAACACGGACC